GAUGAAGAACGCAGUGAAAUGCGAUAAGUAAUGUGAAUUGCAGAAUUCAGUGAAUCAUCGAAUCUUUGAACGCACCUUGCGCUCUUUGGUAUUCCGAAGAGCAUGCCUGUUUGAGUGUCAUGAAAAUAUCAACCUUGACUUGGGUUUUGUGCUCUAGUCUCGGCUUGGAAUUGGGUGCUUGCCGCUUUUACGAGCGGCUCACCUUAAAUGUAUUAGCUGGAUCUGUCUUUGAGACUUGGUUUGACUUGGCGUAAUAAGUAUUUCGCUAAGGACAUUCUUCGGAGUGGCCUCGUUUCUAGGACGCUUGUCCGCUUUCCAAUACAAGUUCCACCUCGUGGACAUGACUUUUUAUUAUCUGGCCUCAAAUCAGGUAGGACUACCCGCUGAACUUAAGCAUAUCAAUAACGGAGGA
rnacentral:misc_RNA from 1 species